UACGUAGGGGGCAAGCGUUAUCCGGAAUGAUUGGGCGUAAAGCGUCCGCAGGUGGCAAUGUAAGUCUGCUGUUAAAGAGUCUAGCUCAACUAGAUAAAAGCAGUGGAAACUACAUAGCUAGAGUACGUUCGGGGCAGAGGGAAUUCCUGGUGUAGCGGUGAAAUGCGUAGAGAUCAGGAAGAACACCGGUGGCGAAGGCGGUCUGCUAGGCCGUAACUGACACUGAGGGACGAAAGCUAGGGGAGCGAAUGGG
rnacentral:rRNA from 1 species